rnacentral:rRNA from 1 species
UACGUAGGGGGCAAGCGUUGUCCGGAAUCAUUGGGCGUAAAGCGCGCGUAGGCGGCCUCACAAGUCCGCUGUGAAAGUCAAAGGCUCAACCUUUGAAAGCCAGUGGAAACUGUGAGGCUAGAGUCCGGAAGAGGCGAGUGGAAUUCCUGGUGUAGCGGUGGAAUGCGCAGAUAUCAGGAGGAACACCAACGGCGAAGGCAGCUCGCUGGGACGGUACUGACGCUAAGGCGCGAAAGCGUGGGGAGCAAACAGG